rnacentral:lncRNA from 1 species
CAAGAAUUGUGUUACAAGAAAUUCAUAGCUAUAAAAACCCAAGCAAAGAUUGCAAUGACACAAACACUUGAAAUGAACAAACAUCAACUCGGCACAAAUAUAUAAGAAAAACUCUUAUUCCUCCUGAUUAUACACUAUUAUAAGAAGUUCAGUCAUGCAAUGGUACCUCUUAAUUUUGCAAAAUCACAGCUAAAAGGGAGUACUUGACUCGAAGAGAUAUUUUACCUUUGUCAACUAUAAGCCUAGCCCCGGACACUACCCAGUACCCAGGCUGGUCCUGUGGUCCUCUUGUCAUCUCUCUGGUGUCAACAAACCUCGAAAGUUUACCUGGUAGUAUGGGCACUGGAGGACCACCUGGAUAUUUAGAAGAGUUAAUGUUAACAUCAGAUGGCUCUGGAGGAGGUUUCUGUGCACUGGAGAAAAGAGUGGCAACUAAAGUAAUCAUUCCAGACGUCUGCGCGAAAUUAGGAGAACCAUCCCACUCAGGUUUUUGGAUGACCGUUGCACCAGUAACUCUGGAGAAGUGGAGGCGUAAAAAGAGGGUGUUUCCCAUAACUGAUUUUCUAAUGUAAAAUUGUGCUCCAGUAACUAUAGAGAGAUCAUCAUCAGACUCAACAGGGGCAGUGCAUACAUUUGAAAAGAUCUUCCACUGGACCUUCUCAUAAUAUUGCUGGGCAUAAAAGGAGUUAUAGUUUCCAACCGACUGAUUAUGAAGUUGAAAACUUUGUGGCGACGAGGAAAGGUGCUGCAAAUGGAUUGCCAAGCGAUUACUUCUUCUACCUUCCAAAUACAGCCGCAUGCCAGUUACCGGCUUAUUUCCAGCAUCUACCUAUCCAAAUUAUUUUCAGCCGAAAAAACUAACUAAUUAUUCAAGCAUAGAGAAUUAAGAUUGCAAUGACACAAACACUUGAAAUGAACAAACAUCAACUCGGCACAAAUAUAUAAGAAAAACUCUUAUUCCUCCUGAUUAUACACUAUUAUAAGAAGUUCAGUCAUGCAAUGGUACCUCUUAAUUUUGCAAAAUCACAGCUAAAAGGGAGUACUUGACUCGAAGAGAUAUUUUACCUUUGUCAACUAUAAGCCUAGCCCCGGACACUACCCAGUACCCAGGCUGGUCCUGUGGUCCUCUUGUCAUCUCUCUGGUGUCAACAAACCUCGAAAGUUUACCUGGUAGUAUGGGCACUGGAGGACCACCUGGAUAUUUAGAAGAGUUAAUGUUAACAUCAGAUGGCUCUGGAGGAGGUUUCUGUGCACUGGAGAAAAGAGUGGCAACUAAAGUAAUCAUUCCAGACGUCUGCGCGAAAUUAGGAGAACCAUCCCACUCAGGUUUUUGGAUGACCGUUGCACCAGUAACUCUGGAGAAAUGGAGGCGUAAAAAGAGGGUGUUUCCCAUAACUGAUUUUCUAAUGUAAAAUUGUGCUCCAGUAACUAUAGAGAGAUCAUCAUCAGACUCAACAGGGGCAGUGCAUACAUUUGAAAAGAUCUUCCACUGGACCUUCUCAUAAUAUUGCUGGGCAUAAAAGGAGUUAUAGUUUCCAACCGACUGAUUAUGAAGUUGAAAACUUUGUGGCGACGAGGAAAGGUGCUGCAAAUGGAUUGCCAAGCGAUUACUUCUUCUACCUUCCAAAUACAG